rnacentral:tRNA from 1 species
GGCCCCGUAGCUCAGCUGGAUAGAGCGGUCCCCUCCUAAGGGACAGGUCGUGCGUUCGAAUCGCGCCGGGGCCACCA